rnacentral:rRNA from 1 species
UACGUAGGGUGCGAGCGUUGUCCGGAAUUAUUGGGCGUAAAGGGCUCGUAGGCGGUUUGUCGCGUCGGGAGUGAAAACAUCCAGCUUAACUGGGUGCUUGCUUUCGAUACGGGCAGACUAGAGGUAUGCAGGGGAGAACGGAAUCCCUGGUGUAGCGGUGAAAUGCGCAGAUAUCAGGAGGAACACCGGUGGCGAAGGCGGUUCUCUGGGCAUGAUCUGACGCUGAGGAGCGAAAGUGUGGGGAGCGAACAGG